rnacentral:lncRNA from 1 species
GCUGCUUUUGGUAAACAGUUACACAGGAUACUUCACAAGAUACGUGAAGAGAGUCUUUGAGGUAAAAUCAAAUCCCUAUUAGGAUAAAUGAUUGAGUGUUCCUGUAAAGAAUUGUUCCCCUGGUUCAAGCAACCAGAUUUCAUUCCCAGAUGAUCAAAAAUGGACUUGAUGAAAUGGAAAAGCACUGAUAGAAACAGCCGUCGAUAUAUAGCUAAGGAUGAUAACAAGCACAACAAGGACUUACAGCAUUUGCUUUGCACCAGACACCAUCUAAAACACUUCACAAAUAUUAACUCAAAGGAACCUAUCAUUUCCACUGCUCAAAAUUACUCCUGAAGGGAUGAGGACACCAGGAUAUGCCACCGGACCACUGAAGAGAUUGCUGUUUUCUGCCCCAGGCCUGUGCCAUGAGGGACACUUUCUCAGGACUCUUGCCAAU